rnacentral:sRNA from 1 species
CCGUGUCCCUGCAGUGAGUACCUGAUGAUGCUGAUGCCACCCAGCCAGGAGGAGGAGAAGUGAGUAGAGGCGGCAGGACACCCUCUCCCUUUCCGGGCUGGCUGCCUCUAACCUGUGCCCUCUGCUUUCCCCAGAGACAAGCCUGUGGCCCCCAGCAACGUCCUGUCGAUGGCCCAGCUGCGCACGCUGCCUCUGGCCGAUCAGAUCAAGAUCCUGAUGAAGAAUGUGAAGGUCAUGCCUUUUGCCAACUUGAUGAGCCUCCUGGGCCCCUCCAUCGAUUCCGUGGCUGUUCUGCGGGGCAUACAGAAGGUGGCGAUGUUGGUCCAAGGGAACUGGGUGGUGAAGAGUGACAUCCUAUACCCCAAGGACUCAUCCAGCCCUCACAGCGGCGUGCCUGCCGAGGUGCUCUGCAGGGGCCGAGACUUCGUUAUGUGGAAGUUCACGCAGAGCCGCUGGGUGGUUAGGAAAGAGGUGGCAACCGUGACCAAACUCUGCGCCGAGGACGUGAAGGACUUCCUGGAGCACAUGGCCGUGGUGAGGAUCAACAAAGGCUGGGAGUUCAUUCUGCCUUAUGACGGGGAGUUCAUCAAGAAGCACCCGGAUGUGGUCCAGCGGCAGCACAUGCUGUGGACGGGUAUCCAGGCCAAACUGGAAAAAGUCUAUAAUCUUGUAAAGGAAACCAUGCCAAAGAAGCUGGAUGCACAAUCAGGUGUGUGAGGGGCUUUGGGCUGGGAGGCCCCGGCUCCUACACUGGCUCCCGAAGGGCUGCUGUGCUAGAGCUUGUCAGGCCCGGACCUGGA